rnacentral:rRNA from 1 species
AUGCGAGUUGAUGGGAUACCUAAAGUUCCCAUAGCAAACUGCUCAGUAACACAUGAUCAACUUGCCCUAUGGAGAAACAUAACCUCGGGAAACUGAGGAUAAUAUUUCAUAGUUGAAUAGGCUUGGAAAAGUUUUUCAAUAAAAGAGAUAAGAUAAAUGGUUCUUAUUUGCCAUAGGAUAGGAUCGUGCUCGAUUAUGGUUGUUGGUGAGGUAAAGGCUCACCAAGCCGAUAAUCGAUAGGGGCCGUGAGAGCGGGAGCCCCGAGAUGGGUACUGAGACAACGACCCAGACCUUACGAGGUGCAGCAGGCGCGGGACCUCCGCAAUACACGAAAGUGUGACGGGGUUACCCAAAGUGUCCAAUAUUGGACUGUGGUAGGUGAGUAAUGUCCCCUACUAGAAAGGAGAGGGCAAGGCUGGUGCCAGCCGCCGCGGUAAAACCAGCUCUUCAAGUGGUCGGGAUGAUUACUGGGCUUAAAGUGUCCGUAGCCGGUUUAGUAAGUUCCUGGUAAAAUCGAGUAGCUUAACUAUUUGUAUGCUAGGAAUACUGCUAUACUAGAGGGCGGGAGAGGUCUGAGGUACUACAGGGGUAGGGGUGAAAUCUUAUAAUCCUUGUAGGACCACCAGUGGCGAAGGCGUCAGACUGGAACGUGCCUGACGGUGAGGGACGAAAGCCAGGGGAGCGAACCGGAUUAGAUACCCGGGUAGUCCUGGCCGUAAACGAUGCAUACUAGGUGAUGGCACGGCCAUGAGCCGUGUCAGUGCCGUAGGGAAACCGUUAAGUGUGCCGCCUGGGAAGUACGGUCGCAAGGCUAAAACUUAAAGGAAUUGGCGGGGGAGCACCACAAGGGGUGAAGCCUGCGGUUCAUUGGAUUCAACGCCGGAA